AUACGGCGGAUCCGAGCGUUAUCCGGAUUUAUUGGGUUUAAAGGGUGCGCAGGCGGCCAUUUAAGUCAGCGGUUAAAUCGUGGGGCUCAACCCCAUUCUGCCGUUGAUACUGGGUGGCUUGAUUGCGGUCGAGGUUGGCGGAAUUCGUUGUGUAGCGGUGGAAUGCAUAGAUAUGACGAAGAACACCGAUUGCGUAGGCAGCUGACCAGACCGCAAAUGACGCUCAUGCACGAAAGUGCGGGGAUCGAACAGGAUUAGAUACCCUGGUAGUCCGCACAGUAAACGAUGAAUACUUGUUUUCGGCGAUAUAAUGUCGGAGGCAAAGCGAAAGCGAUAAGUAUUCCACCUGGGGAGUACGCCGGCAACGGUGAAACUCAAAGGAAUUGGCGGGG
rnacentral:rRNA from 1 species